GCUCAGUCAGUAGAUUGCUCAGUCCUUAGAGUUUGAGACUCUGAAUCUCAAGGUCGUGGGUUUGAAUCCCACAUUGGGCA